AUGGCAAAAUUCUUUUGGAGUAGCUCCAUUGAUAGGUGCUCUAUGCAGUGGAUAUCAUGGGAUAAAUUAGCUACACCAAAAUGCAAAGGUGGCAUGGGUUUCCGUGACCUACGUUUGUUCAACCUAGCACUUUUGGCAAAUCAUGGAUGCUGCUUCAUGACUAACCCCAACUCUCUAUGUGCUCGAGUUUUGAAGGGCAGAUACUUCCCAGAUUGCGAGUUCCAGCUAGCCAUAGUUCCGAAAUCUGCAUCUACUACCUGGCGAGCUAUUGUUGCCGGUCGACAGGCGCUCGACGCUGGCCUUAGCAAACGGGUGGGUACGGGUUCCACCAUAUCCAUAUGGGAGGAUAAAUGGAUCCCA
rnacentral:rRNA from 1 species